UGGGGAAUAUUGGACAAUGGGGGGAACCCUGAUCCAGCCAUGCCGCGUGUGUGAAGAAGGCCUUAUGGUUGUAAAGCACUUUAAGCGAGGAGGAGGGUACUGGUAUUAAUACUACCAGGUACUGGACGUUACUCGCAGAAUAAGCACCGGCUAACUCUGUGCCAGCAGCCGCGGUAAUACAGAGGGUGCGAGCGUUAAUCGGAUUUACUGGGCGUAAAGCGUGCGUAGGCGGCUAAUUGAGUCGGAUGUGAAAUCCCCGAGCUUAACUUGGGAAUUGCAUUCGAUACUGGUUAGCUAGAGUGUGGGAGAGGAUGGUAGAAUACCAGGUGUAGCGGUGAAAUGCGUAGAGAUCUGGAGGAAUACCGAUGGCGAAGGCAGCCAUCUGGCCUAACACUGACGCUGAGGUACGAAAGCAUGGGGGGCAAACAGG
rnacentral:rRNA from 1 species